UCUUGUAAUUGGAAUGAUGGUGACCUAAACCCUCACCAGAGUAACAAUUGGAGGGCAAGUCUGGUGCCAGCAGCCGCGGUAAUUCCAGCUCCAAUAGCGUAUAUUAAACUUGUUGCAGUUAAAAAGCUCGUAGUUGAAUUUUUGCGUCACCGUGUAUCGACAUUUGUCGUUUAUCGGUUUCGCUUUUGGGAUUUAUCCCUUUUUACUUUGAGAAAAUUAGAGUGUUUCAAGCAGACUUUUGUCUUGAAUACUUCAGCAUGGAAUAAUAGAGUAGGACUUUGGUUCUAUUUUGUUGGUUUGUGAACCUUAGUAAUGGUUAAUAGGAACGGUUGGGGGCAUUCGUAUUUAACUGUCAGAGGUGAAAUUCUUAGAUUUGUUAAAGACGAACUACUGCGAAAGCAUUUGCCAAGGACGUUUUCAUUAAUCAAGAACGAAAGUUAGGGGAUCGAAGACGAUCAGAUACCGUCGUAGUCCUAACCAUAAACUAA
rnacentral:rRNA from 1 species